rnacentral:rRNA from 1 species
GACGAACGCUGGCGGCGUGCUUAACACAUGCAAGUCGAGCGGUAAGGCCUUUCGGGGUACACGAGCGGCGAACGGGUGAGUAACACGUGGGUGAUCUGCCCUGCACUUCGGGAUAAGCCUGGGAAACUGGGUCUAAUACCGGAUAUGACCUCCUAUCGCAUGGUGGGUGGUGGAAAGAUUUAUCGGUGCAGGAUGGGCCCGCGGCCUAUCAGCUUGUUGGUGGGGUAAUGGCCUACCAAGGCGACGACGGGUAGCCGACCUGAGAGGGUGACCGGCCACACUGGGACUGAGACACGGCCCAGACUCCUACGGGAGGCAGC